AUACAUGCUUCCAUGCUAGUUGUAUUUAGUAGGGUGUUGUUGUGCAUCUUUACCACUACUGCCUCAUGUCUUGUUUGAGCAUUUUAGAUUUAUGUAGCUUGUUGUUUUGGGUGCAGAAAAUGCCAUGUUGCUGUUUUGGGCAGAUUGUAGCUAUUCCUUGUUUAGCUUGUAGUUGUUGAACCGUUGCUCCGUUUUGAUCGUGCCCUAUAUGAAACUUGCUUAGAAUCUCGUGUAGUUUCAUAUUAUCUUGCUGCCUUCUGGUUUGGAAUGCUUGUGGCUGGCAUUCGCAUACAUAUUGCAUUCAUGCCAUCAUAUCUUGCGGUGUUCGUAUCUUUUGAACCGUAGCUCCGUUGGAGAUGUUCUCUAUGUGUAAAUUGAUUGUAACGACAUGUAGAAUCACGUGAACAUAUUUAUUUUUCUGUUUAACAAAUAUUAAAACAUGUUAGUUCAGAUCUGGACAUAAUUCUCAUCUAACGUGUGGGUCAUCUCGGAGAUGCUAUAUGUUGUUUCCGAC
rnacentral:lncRNA from 1 species